rnacentral:rRNA from 1 species
AGUGAACGCUGGCGGUAGGCCUAACACAUGCAAGUCGAACGGCAGCACAGUAAGAGCUUGCUCUUACGGGUGGCGAGUGGCGGACGGGUGAGGAAUACAUCGGAAUCUACUUUUUCGUGGGGGAUAACGUAGGGAAACUUGCGCUAAUACCGCAUACGACCUACGGGUGAAAGCAGGGGAUCUUCGGACCUUGCGCGAUUGAAUGAGCCGAUGUCGGAUUAGCUAGUUGGCGGGGUAAAGGCCCACCAAGGCGACGAUCCGUAGCUGGUCUGAGAGGAUGAUCAGCCACACUGGAACUGAGACACGGUCCAGACUCCUACGGGAGGCAGCAGUGGGGAAUAUUGGACAAUGGGCGCAAGCCUGAUCCAGCCAUACCGCGUGGGUGAAGAAGGCCUUCGGGUUGUAAAGCCCUUUUGUUGGGAAAGAAAAGCAGCAGGUUAAUACCCCGCUGUUCUGACGGUACCCAAAGAAUAAGCACCGGCUAACUUCGUGC